UACGUAGGGUGCAAGCGUUGUCCGGAAUUAUUGGGCGUAAAGGGCUCGUAGGCGGUCCAUCACGUCGGGAGUGAAAAGCUGGGGCUUAACCCCAGUCCUGCUUCCGAUACGGGUGGACUAGAGUGUGGUAGGGGAGACUGGAAUUCCUGGUGUAGCGGUGGAAUGCGCAGAUAUCAGGAGGAACACCGAUGGCGAAGGCAGGUCUCUGGGCCAUUACUGACACUGAGAAGCGAAAGCAUGGGGAGCGAACAGG
rnacentral:rRNA from 1 species